rnacentral:rRNA from 1 species
CCCUUAGAUGUUCUGGGCCGCACGCGCGCUACACUGAUGCAUUCAACGAGUCUAAAACCUGGUCUGAUAGGGCUGGGUAAUCUUUUGAAAGUGCAUCGUGAUUGGGAUAGAUGAUUGCAAUUCUUCAUCUUCAACGAGGAAUGCCUAGUAAACGCAAGUCAUCAGCUUGCAUUGAUUACGUCCCUGCCCUUUGUACACACCGCCCGUCGCUGCAACUGAUUGGGUGACCUGGUGAACAUCUUGGACCGGCCCACUCAAUUUCGAGAGGACUGGAAAAGGCCGUAAAUCAGGUACAUCUAGAAAUUGCAAAAGUCGUAACA